UUCAUCAAUAAAAUCGAAUGACUAGAUUUCAUAAGGCGCAGAUAACGCAAAUAGUAAUAUUACACUGGAAACUUGCCCGAUAAUAAUUAAUAAAAUAUAUCAUAUUUACUUCGAAAUUUAGGACAUCGUUGAAAUUGAAAAGACUUUGGAAUCCAAAUUUGGGCCGGGCCCAUGUAAGAAACCUUGUCACUGGCCAAGAGCGAAAUAAGACUCUGGAUUAUUAAGCCCACUGGGGUUUUAGAAAUGAAGAUCUGGGUAGGCAACUUGGAAGAUUGGUCCCAGCCCAGCAACCUAUAAGUCAAAGUGAUUUUAUGAGAUCGGUCCUCCCAAUUACAAUAAAUAGUACGUAGUGUAGUGGCAUUGGAUUGGGUUUCAACUGCUCAGCAAUUUCAUCUGCUUUUUUCCAAACUCUCGUUGUCUCUUUCACAGAUUCAACAAAAAUUGAACAAAAACAAACAAAACUCAGACAUACAUCGAAUUUUGAAAUUCUGAAUAAUGUUUGCAUUCAAACAAAACUCACCAACUCUAAAAAAAAUUAUUUCAAUGAAUUCACAACAUAUACCCUACUAGCCCUUAAGGAUUAUGAGUAAAAAUGAAUGAUAUGGAUCGUCGUCCAAGGACCCAAAUCCCUCCGGUGAGCUAGCUCUUGUAUUAUUUUCCUUCUUCUUCUUCUCUUCAUGUUCAUAUGGAUUGAUGGUUUGGGUUUCAGGUGGAUCACAAAGCAUGCAUAUGCAGAGUAGACGGAGGACUUAAAACCAUAGUCGGAGCUAAGAAAUUCGUCCAUGGACAUGGAGGAAAGCUUUGUCUUAGACCUGGUGUAAAAACUUCCAUCCACCCGACAAGAGUAGUCCAUCAACGGAAGCGUAGUGGUUGUGGCGGUGAAUCUCCAUUCAUACCUGGACUUCCAGAUGAUCUUGCGAUAGCAUGUCUUAUUCGCGUUCCGUGUAGCCAUCUGCAGAAACUACGGGUUGUUUGCUGGAGAUGGUGUCGUCUUCUUGCCGGAACCUACUUUUACUCCCUCAGGCGGAAAUUUGGGUUGACGGAAGAAUGGAUUUACAUCAUCAAAAGAGACAAGGUAGAUGGUCGGCUAUCAUGGGAUUCCUUUGAUCCGAUAUCGCGUAUUUGGCACCCUGUGCCACCGUUACCGACGGAGUACUCCCAAAUGGUUGGAUUUGGAUGUGGCGUGCUGGACGGAAGCCAGCUCUACUUAUUCGGCGGCAAUGAUCCCAUGAAGGGGGGAUCGAUGAGAAGAGUCAUCUUUUACAAUGCCAGAACCAACAAAUGGCACCGUGCGCCUGAUAUGAUAAGACGUAGACGUUUCUUCUUUUCAUGUGUCAUGAACAAUCGGUUGUACGUCGCCGGAGGUAUGAACGCUAAUCAUACUCUGACAACGGCUGAGGUUUACGAUCCAUGUACGAAGAGAUGGUCUUUCAUUUCCAACAUGAACACUAGCAUGGCCCCUUUCGGCGGAGUCGUUUACGAUGGAAAGUGGUAUCUGAAAGGUGUGGGAGCCGAUGGGCGGGUGCUGAGCGAAUUCUAUCUUCCGGAGACGGACCAGUGGUAUCCGGUGGUGGUGAAUGGGAUGAUUUCAGGGUGGCGAAAUCCAUGCGUGAGCUUCAACGGUCGAAUCUACGACGUGGGUUGCAAAGAUGGGUGCAAAUUGAGAUGCUACAACGAGGAGACGGAUUGUUGGAGCAAGGAUUCCGAUAGCAAGAAUCAUCUUGGUGAUUCUCUACCUCAGGAAGCCACUUCUCUCCUGUCUCUCAACGGAAAGAUAUGCGUGAUCAGGAACAACCUUUCAAUCUCUUUGGUGAAUAUUGCCGGCGAUGAUCGACAGCAAUGCUGGGAUUUAAUAGCCGGAGAUCGACCGGACAUGAAUAUUUUUUUCCCGAAUCUCUGGUCAAAUCUAUUUUCAGUUGGCAGACGUGCAAAAAAAUACCAAGUUGUCUGCUCUCAAGUUCUUAGUGUGUAAUCUAAAUUUGCAUGAAAUCAAAUCAAAUCAAUUUGAAUUGUGUUUGUAAAUUGAGCAGAAGAAAUCCAUACACACAGGCACACUACAGUGCUUCGAUUGGUUCCAAAUUUCCGAUCGGAAGAGGCAAUUUAUAAGCUGCCGGAAUAUUAUUAAUUCACACUGUUUAAUUUAUAUAUUUAUCUAUCUAUCUAUCUAUCGAUGCAUCUAAUUUACUUACGUGAUUUGGGUUUUCCGAAACAGAGACCACAGUAUGAAAUUUUGGGAGAAGGUGGGUCUGGGAUGGUAGGAGAGUCUUUUCUGGCGGUAUAAGCGGCGGUGGCAAUCCGGUUGGCUCCGUUAGAAAGAUUUCUCCUCAGUAUUCCGACG
rnacentral:lncRNA from 1 species